AGCAGGGGGAUAAUUGUAUUGAGGUGGGAGAUACAAUUGCAGUAGUGCAGAAUAUAGUCCAAGAAGAAGAUGAGGUCUAUGUGAUAUACAGAAAGUUCAGACACCAAGAAUCAUAUUACACUUAUCCCUAAUGGAAAGAGAGGUGGUGCUUUGGGCCGUUGUCCUAUUUCCAAAUGGCGGAACUGCAACAGUUCUUUCCAGCUGGUUCAAUGCAAAGGAAGGUACAUUGUUCUGGCCCCCAAAAAACAUAAAUUAUUCAAAGGCCCUUAAAGAAAACAUGAUGCCCCGUAAAGGAUGGACCACGUAUGAGAAUGUUCGGCUCUUAAAUACUUGUGACUCAUUUGAAAAGGCCAAGCAACAUGAAGAAAAGUAUGUCACUACUGGAUGUCCGACCACUGAUUUGGAAUCAGAGGUGGAAGCAGAUGUACGUCGGAAAAGAAGAACAAGAACAAAUACUGUGUAUGCGGAGUCAGAUGAGGAGCCAGAAACCAGAAGUGUUAAGAGAAAAUUUGCCAAGCCACCUGCUAUUCACUUUCCAGUGCUGCCAGUAUCCAACCAGUACCCCUCUCUACCAACCCCAGAUGCAAGCAGUGCCUCUGGAGGAAACUAUUCUGAGGAUGUUCAGUCAUUUGACCAGCCUAAUAAUGACUUUAGUGGAAACUUCUUGGCAGAGCUAGAGUCAACAGAUCUCUGUAAUGAUGACUUUCCUGGCAAUCACCAUCACCACCCCCAGGGCUAUACAGCUCCAGAAACACCACGGGGAAGAUUCACUGCAAGGGAACCCAGCCAAAUGUUGCAAGACAUUGCUGCCAACCAAAAUACCAAGAUGCUAACGGAGAUACUCAUGGAGGUGAAGCAAAUGUCACGGGACAUUCAGUUCAUCAAGACUGAAAUUGCCAAAUCCGCCAUGAAUAUUCCCGGAGCGGGAUCACAGAGAGAGGAGCCCUUCCCCAUUGUUCUGCCACUCGCCAAUGAGGAGCAGUUUGAUGAGGCUGAAGCUGCACUGAGGGAGGAAUCAGUCCGUCGAAAGAUGAUUACCCGCUUGGCAUUAGUCGGAGGGACCAAUGCCGAAAAUAUGAUCCGGCGAAUGCUAUCCGCUACCAUGGCAAUCAGUGUAGCAUGUAUUUUCAACUGGGCGGGAAAUGGACCGAAGAGGGCCUUCAAGGACACGUUAAUGUAGGACUGCAUGUUUGCGGCUGCUCGUCAAUUUGACCGCAAGUUGACCGAAUUGCAGUACAGGGAUGCCCUGCAGAAGUGGCUGCGUUACGCACCGGAGAGGAGUGGCGGGGUACCAAGAAAAGCCAAAGAUUAAGGACUAUUAAGGACAAAUGUUACUGUAAUGUUCUAAUUAUAGGGUUACUUAUAGGGUUAAUGUUCAUAAUUCCUUAAAAUGUUAAGAUGUUUGUUUAUAAUUGCU
ensembl:lncRNA